GACAGGGGGGGCAAGCGUUAUUCAUCGUGACUGGGCGUAAAGGGUGCGUAGGUUGCUAAUUAAAUAAGUGGUAAAUUCUGGGGAUAGACCUCAGUGCAUUACUAAUAACAUUAUUUGGGCUAGAGUUUAGGUAAAGUUGGUGGAAUUUUUUAUGGAGUCGUAACAAGCCAAUAUAUUAAAAGGAACACCGGAGGUGGAGACAGCUGACUAACCAAAACUGACACUGAGGCACGAAGGCGUGGGGAGCAAACAGG
rnacentral:rRNA from 1 species